rnacentral:rRNA from 1 species
UUGAACGCUGGCGGCAUGCCUUACACCUGCAAGUCGAACGGCAGCACGGGUGCUUGCACCUGGUGGCGAGUGGCGAACGGGUGAGUAAUACAUCGGAACAUGUCCUGUAGUGGGGGAUAGCCCGGCGAAAGCCGGAUUAAUACCGCAUACGAUCUACGGAUGAAAGCGGGGGACCUUCGGGCCUCGCGCUAUAGGGUUGGCCGAUGGCUGAUUAGCUAGUUGGUGGGGUAAAGGCCUACCAAGGCGACGAUCAGUAGCUGGUCUGAGAGGACGACCAGCCACACUGGGACUGAGACACGGCCCAGACUCCUACGGGAGGCAGCAGUGGGGAAUUUUGGACAAUGGGCGAAAGCCUGAUCCAGCAAUGCCGCGUGUGUGAAGAAGGCCUUCGGGUUGUAAAGCACUUUUGUCCGGAAAGAAAUCCUUGGCCCUAAUACGGUCGGGGGAUGACGGUACCGGAAGAAUAAGCACCGGCUAACUACGU